UGCCAGCCGCCGCGGUAAUACGGAGGGUGCAAGCGUUGUUCGGAAUUACUGGGCGUAAAGCGCGUGUAGGCGGCCUUGCAAGUCGGGUGUGAAAUCCCGGGGCUCAACCCCGGAACUGCACCCGAAACUGCAAGGCUAGAGUCUCGGAGGGGGUGGCGGAAUUUCCGGUGUAGAGGUGAAAUUCGUAGAUAUCGGAAGGAACACCAGUGGCGAAGGCGGCCACCUGGACGAUGACUGACGCUGAGACGCGAAAGCGUGGGGAGCAAACAGGAUUAGAUA
rnacentral:rRNA from 1 species